rnacentral:misc_RNA from 1 species
CCUAGAGUUGUAGGCUUUGCCUGCUAUCUCUUACCCAUGUCUUUUGAGUACCUACGUUUCCUCGGUGGGUUCGCCCGCCGAUUGGACAACUUAAACCCUUUGCAGUUGAAAUCAGCGUCUGAAAAAAACUUAAUAGUUA